CAGGAUAAGAAAAAAAACAUGAAAGACAUUAAAGGGUUAAACAUGUAGCAAUCUGCUUGACAUGAAAAGAAAAAGACAUGAAGAAAUUUUAAUAAAAAUACAACCCUACUAGGACUUGGACUCAUUACCUCUGCAAUAUAAGGAAGACACUAGGCAAUGUGAAUUUACAGGUGUUAAUUAGCCAACAGAGGGCUCCUCGAUUGUUCCCAGAAUACCAUACAAACAUAGAGAAAUAGAAAAAUUCAAUCAAAGAACAUUCCCUGCCUCAUAGAGAAGACUGCAUGCGUGCACAAUGUCAUGCAAAUCAGCUUUAAUUUACUGCAUGUUUUUCUGCUUUCACCAAAUUUGUUGAAGAAAAUGGAUCUUUCUCUGCUCAUAGCUGUAAAUUCCUGCAUCAUCAAAGCAUACACAGAUCAGGAUGUUGUUUUCCAACUGACGCUUGAAUAAUAGCGGAAGAAAAUAUCUAUGCAGAAAUAUUAAAUGGAUAUUCCCAUGGCAGCAUUAAUUCAGAAAUACUCCCCACUGCACUAUAAGAUAUCUUCACCAGGCAUGGUGGCUCACGCCUGUAAUCCCAACACUUUGGGAAGCCAAGGUGGGUGGACCAUGAGGUCAAGAAUUCAAGACCAGCCUGACCAACAUGGUGAAACCCGUCUCUACUAAAAAUACAAAAAUUAGCUGGGCAUGGUGAUCUGUGCCUGUAAUCCCAGCUACUCAGGAGGCUGAGGCAGGAGAAUUGUUUGAAUCCAGGAGGCGGAGGUUGCAGUGAGCCAAGAUCACACCACUGCACUUCAGCCUGGGCAACAGAGCGAGAGUCCAUCUCAAAAAAUAAAAUAAUAAACAAAUAUCUUCAAGCAUCUACUACGUGGUAUGAUCUGGUCUAAGUGCUUAGGGAGUCUUCAGUGUUUAAAAUGGAACAAAAUCCCCAUCCUUGUGGAACAGUCUAGCAGAAAAGACAGACAAUAAACAACAAGCAAAAAGUAAUCAUUGUGAAAAAGGAACAGGGCAGUCAAGGGAAUCCGGACUGGAAUGGGGUUGCCUUUUUAAGAGUGGUUAGGAGUAGGCCUUCUGAGAAGGCAAGAGUUGAGCAAAGACUUGAGGGAGGCCAGGGGUCAGCCAUGCUGACAUGUGUGGGAAGAGUAUUUCUGGC
rnacentral:lncRNA from 1 species